rnacentral:lncRNA from 1 species
AAUCACUAAUUAAUAUGGGUUCUUUGAUCAAAGCGACUGUUUGGUCAACCUGUUUUGCCGCAUUAAUCAUUGCAAUAGCAGCUCAAAUGGACAUGCCGCCCGGCAUGGUGAUGCCACCAGGCUCCGUCAUGCCCUCGGCGCCCACGCCCAAUCGAAGCAGCCACCUUGUAUCUCCAUCUUUGGUGCUUGGAUUCCUUGCGUUCAUGGUUUCAAUUUUUGCUGUCAACCAGAGAGCCUGAUCAGCCUCUCUCUACAUAAAUGCUUGGCAUUUCGACUUUCAUGCUUCUUCUUUUUUUAAUGUUUUUGGUGUCUCCGUCUGUUGCUACGCCGGUUUGUAAUACAUUUCGCUUUCUUAAAUUACUAUCUAUGACAUAAAUUUUCUUUCUCCUGGUUUGAGGAAGAAUAUUAGAUUAAACAUUUC